rnacentral:tRNA from 1 species
GCCAAAGUGGUGGAAUUGGUAGACACGCUGGAUUCAAAAUCCAGUGCUAGCAAUAGCGUGAGGGUUCGAGUCCCUCCUUUGGUA